CUCAACACUUUUAACACCAUCUUUCUCAAUCUUCUUAUAUUUUUACUCUCUGCAGUUCUAUGGGUAAGCAAGUGGUUCAUCCUUCGUUAUCUUUCUGCUCCCAAUAAACAACCAUCCAAUUCCAUGGUAUUUCUCUUCAAUUUUCCCACCACCUAUCUAUUUAUUUCUGAUUAUUAACUCUUUAUCGUCAAAUGAUGUUAUUUGAUCGAAAUUAGAGAGUAGUGUAUCUGAUUUGACUAAAUGUUAAAGUUCAAAAUUGAAUAAUUUAAUGGAUUACGAAUUUGGGAACAGCCCUAAAUUGAGACUGAGGAAGUACUUUCUUCAACAUGAUGAUUUAGCGUAAAAGGUUUGAUUUUUUCCCCAAGUUUUUUGUUAUGUCUAAACUGAAAAAUUGAAGUGGAAAUAAGAUACAAUUUGCUAAUUCAUGUGGUUUACGAAGAACAUGGAGUGAGAGGAUACGAUUUUUUAGAGACACACGCAGAAAGGGGUGUGAGAUUUGUAACAUUGAUAUUUGUAAUGCACACCAGAUGUUGCAAAAAUGUCACCAUUAGAAAAUCAAGACUUUCUUUGUAUGAUUCACAAUUUUGCCCAGUUUUUGUGUGGUCUGAUUCGGAUGAGGUUUAUCCCCAAUUUUUUCUAUUAUUUUCUUGUGGGUUUCACAGUAUGAAAAAACUGAUGUGUUUCACAAUAUAACAUUAUUUUGAGCUUAUUAAAUAGAGAAAAAACAAGAAAUUGUAUCUACAAGUCUCUUAAUCGAAAUUAAAAGCAAAACGUCAGCAUGCUUACUCCGAGGUUGAUAAAACUCCAAAAGGAUAGCAAACAUUCUCUAGAAUUUUGAUUUCUCUCAAGAACAAAAGUUCUUCUCCACAUAAUAUUGACUCUUCAUUGUUACUUAUACCUUCUCAAUUCAGUAUUGAUGCAUGUUAACAAAUUUUGAUUUCGUCAACAAAGCAACUUUUACUUAUAUUCUACAAUGGAUUGCUAACAGAUGCCUCCUCCAUUUUACAAAGUAGUUUUGGUGCCGACUUUAAAUAAGAAAGGCUUCCAAACUAUGUGGUCUAAUAAAAACCUUAGACUAUAAAUCAUUUUCUUAGGAUUAAAGAGAAACUUUAAAAUUAAAUCAUUAUUGAGUAUAAAAAGAUGAUAAUGUUUUUUACAAACAAAAAAAAAACUAAAAAGGGAAAUGCAUCACAUAGUUGGAACAAAGUGCACUACUUUACCUUCUUCAUACAACUGGCACUGUCUUCAUAUUUAUGUUGUUAAAGUCUUCUGUAUCUAUCUAAACUGAGCUACCAACUUUGAUUGCCCUCUUUCAGGUUUCUGCACGUGUACUUGUGAUUACUGUUCACAAGUGUCUUCAACUUCCUACACUUUUUUAAGUAUCGAUUUCUAUUUUUACAAUUAUAUUUGACUAAGUACUUCGCUCUGCCAGUCUCUUUAGUUGUUUUUAUUAUGCAUGUAUCCAAAACUUCCACUUCUCUUCACUUUACUUAUAAUAAUCACUUGACUUUCCUUUUGGAUUGCCUCCGCAAUAUAAAAGAUACAUGCAUGCCUAAGAUUUGAGGAGUCAUUCCAUCCUUGAUGAUCAAGUCGCAACUCUUUUUUGGGUAUCCGCUAUGUAUACAUAAAAAUGCAUCGCCUACUUUAUUAAUUGGUGUUGUUAUGUGCUGCUGGCUCCCAACUUCUAAAUGUCUAUGCUCACAAACUACUUACUAUAUAUUCUCCUCUAAAUAAACAAUUGCUUCAACCGAAACCUCCCAGUAUUUGACACUAUUCUGUGAAUUGAUUUACUGUUCUUCCACUUGAUUUGUCUAUUAUCGUUUAUCUCCCGUUACAAGUCUGGUAAGUUUCUGAGAGCUAUAAUAACCUCUACAUUACCAACCGACUCAAAUUAGUGUUCUCUUAAUUAGUUCCUACAUUUGAUUGAGUUGAACAACUUUACCCAACAUAGCUAAUAGUUGAAACCAAUUUCUGAUAGAAAUCUAUUGGUCAUUUUGUUUUAUCAACAGAAAAAAAAUUCACUCAACAAAAAAAUCUUAUACCAAUCAAGAUUGAAGUGAUACAACAUAUAGCUUUCAACUGUUAAAAUAUUUUCCAACUAUUGACACUAAACUGCUAAUAAUUUCUACUUCUCCUUUACAGGCUUCCAUCUGUGUUGUUGUGACUAUUAUUCUCAAGUUUGUUUGAUAUCCUGUUACUAUACUUCUGUAAGUUUCACUCUUUCAUUUCUGAUAAUUCUUUUUCGGUUAGCUUCUUCACUCUGUCUGCUUUUUAUUUGUUUACUACUUUCUUGAUAAUUCUUCAUCCUUAGAUUCUACAUUGUUCCUGCUUCUUAAUUAUUCACUACUUGUAUUCAUUUGUGCUCCUCUUACUUUGUUCUGCAAAUUUUGUUGUUUUGUGCCAUGGAAAAUGUAGUUGUAAAUAUAUGAUAAAGAAAAUGUUAUUAAAGAUGUUUGAAGUAGUAAUAAAGUUAACUAAUAUCUAUAGUUUAGUGUCUUAGAGGAUGAUCUAAAUUCGAGUUUGGUUGUAGAGCCUGUUUGGAUUGACUUUUCAUUUCUGACUUAUAAGCAAAAGUCAUAAGUUAGAAGUACUAACUUGUGGCUUAUUUUUAGCAUUUUAUCUUAAAAGUUAGUACUUGUGGCAUAUUUUUAGCAUUUUAGCUUAAAACUAAGUGCUUAUUAAACACUUUUUUGACUUAUUCACACACUCCAAAAGUGCUUAAAGGCUAUUUUAGCUUUAAAACACUUAAAAUAAGCUAAUCCAAUUGCGUUAUUAAGUUUGGUAAGUGUUUAAAUAGUUCCCUUGCUGUUUAUUUUGACUAAUGAUUCUGGAUCCAAUUGAUGUGGAGAAGUUGUUCAAGCUUUAGUACAAUAGUCCUGAAGUUCUUGAAACAAAGUCGACCUUGACCUGCUAUUUUUUCCCUUUUGUACCGUCUUGAUGACUGAUGCUUUAACAAGGUAUGUGACACUCUUUUAUUACUACACUCUACAUUCACUACUUAAAACACUUCUCCCAUUUCAAUAUAGAAUCUCUACAGAUAUUUUGUGCACACAAUUGCAGCUGUAAUUAAGAACGACAUGCCAACCACCAACAAAGUAAUCGACUGCAUUACUAUAUUACCUUUUACCGAUAUGUGCUUCUGUGAACAUUUGUAAAUGAUGUAUAAAUAGUGCAAUCACGAAUCUUAUGUACAAACAAUAUGUGUAUGUAUAAAUUAGCCAUCUUUAGCUAUUCGCCGCCUUAUCAAUAUGUGUAACUACUGUCCUCC
rnacentral:lncRNA from 1 species